UGGCGCUGCGGCAGCCAGUCCGAGGUCAGAUGGACUCGGCCGGCCUUCAGGAGGGUUUGAAAGGGGCCGCGGCACUAGUCGCUGGUACAGGUUCCGAGUGAUGAUACCUGUGUCUUGGGUCUGGGGAGGUUUCGACCAAGAUUGGGCACUCUCAAUUCCCACUUGAUAUCUGAGUAUCAGAGUAUCCCGCGUUCCCCCUAGAUUCUCCAAACGCCGCUCCCCUGACCAGUUCCAGUUUGGCUUGAUACUCCAUCCCUACCUUUACUAUUACAUCCCCACUCCCCACUUUCGAUCUGAAGUGUGGCUUUACUGGGCUGUGCCUCUGUUGUCCUGGGCUUGGAGAGCAAAGGCACAAGACGUCAGGGAGCCUUGGGGAAGGUUAUGAGUAGGAGUCUGAGCUGGACUGAGCAUCUCGACGGGCUUCUCAAUGCUACGGAUGGAAAUGUGGCCAGGAUUAAGCAGCGGCUGUAUCCUCUUGGAGUCUCCACAGCUGCAGGAGAUUUGGCUGGGACCUGGAUUUCCCCUCAUCACUUGCCUCCCCAGUCUGGAGUCCAAGCUCAACAACGUUGGGCUCUAGAGGCUCCCUGUCACCCAGAGAGGCUGAGUUGUAGUAAGGCCCAUGGCACAUCUUUUUUCUGGGAUGAAAUCACUAUUCUCCAAUCCCAGCUUCAAUACCAGGCUCAGAUGACUGAGACACUAAGGCAGGCUGUGCAGGGGCUGCUGGAAGAGCAAGAGCAGCAGAAGUACAAGAUCUGUGCUCUGGAAGUUUGUCCCACUACAGCAUCACUAAGGUUGCUGCAGGGGGGCCCAGAGCAGAGGGUCCUUCUCCUGGAGCAACGCCUGGAGGCGCUGAGAAGGGAACUGCAGGGCCUUCGAAGCCAAGUGCAGGAACAGGCCCAAGCCCAAACACAAACAGGACCACGAAAGUGCAGUGCUACUGGUGGCCUUCACCAAGAGCUGCAGAAUGAAAUGACACUACCUCCAUCUGUCCAGGCGUCAGCUCCUGUGGGAGGAAUCAGAGAUCCUUCGGGAAGAAUUGAAGUUGCUGCGGGACCAGCUGAGCCAGCACCAGGAGCUGCUGCUGAAACAGAUGGCUGAAGGGCAGCAAGCUCAGGUCCACAGCUGGAAGCUCUGAAGUCAGUCUUCUUCUGGACAGCAACAGUAGCUGGGAACUUCUAAGGAAACUAGGUGGCGAUCUCCAGAAGAGCAUACUUUCUGACCUAGAGCCCAGAAGCUUUCAGCUUUAGGGCCAGAGCCUUGAGCAGGAGAACCUAUUCUUUAAGAGCCCCACAAUGUUCCUGAGUGACCUGUAAGGACUUGUAAGAGUAGCUUUGCUCACCUUCCUCACCAAGGCCCUGUUUCUGGGUCCCUUCCCCCUUUUCUCUUGAUCUUGCUGGUAUCUGCCCUCCUUACUGAGGCUCAUCACUGCCUGCCCACCAAUUGCAAUAAAUGUUUUAACUCUU